UGUGCUAAGGUAGCAUAAUCAUUAGUUACUUAAUUUGUAACUAGAAUGAACGGCCCGACAAAAGAAUAACUUUAUUAUUUUUUUUGUUAAAUUAAUCUAAGAAUAAAAAAGUUCUUAUAAAUUAGAAAGACGAUAAGACCCUAAAACCUUAUAUAUAAAUAUUUUACUGGGGUGGUAAUUUAUUCUCCAUAAGUUAAAAUAACAUUAUGAAUGAUAUUAUCUAUUUAAUUAAUUCAAAAAGGUACUUUAGGGAUAACAGCAUAAUUUUUAUUUAGAGUUCUUAUCGACAUAAGAGAUUAUGACCUCGAUGUUGAAUUGAUUUAACUAUUUUAGGCAG
rnacentral:rRNA from 1 species